GAUAACUGGCUUGUGGCAGCCGAGCGUUCCAUGCGACGUUGUUUUUUUUUUUGUUUUUUUUCGAUGUCGGCUCGAUCUUCCUAUCAUUGAGACGCAGAAGCCCCAAAGUUUCCACGUGAGCUGGGUUUAGACCGUCGUGAGACACGUU
rnacentral:ncRNA from 1 species